rnacentral:rRNA from 1 species
GAUCAUGGCUCAGGAUGAACGCUAGCUACAGGCUUAACACAUGCAAGUCGAGGGGCAGCGGGAUUGAAGCUUGCUUCAAUUGCCGGCGACCGGCGCACGGGUGAGUAACGCGUAUCCAACCUUCCGCUUACUCGGGGAUAGCCUUUACGAAAGAAAGAUUAACUACCCGAUGGUAUCUUAAGCACGCAUGAGAUUAAGAUUAAAGAUUUUAUCGGUAAGCGAUGGGGAUGCGUUCCAUUAGG